rnacentral:rRNA from 1 species
AAUCAACGCUGGCGGCGUGCCUAACACAUGCAAGUCGCACGAGAAAGGGACUUCGGUCCUGAGUAAAGUGGCGCACGGGUGAGUAACACGUGAAUCAUCUACCUUCGAGUGGGGAAGUAAACUGAGAGAAAUCUUAGCUAAUACCGCAUAAUACCUACGGGUCAAAGCAGCAAUGCGCUUGAAGAGGAGUUCGCGGCAGAUUAGUUAGUUGGCGGGGU